ACUCAAAGGAAUUGACGGGGACCCGCACAAGCGGUGGAACAUGUGGUUUAAUUCGAAGCAACGCGAAGAACCUUACCAGGGCUUGACAUCUAGAGAAUUCUAGUGAAAGCUAGGAGUGCCUUUCGGGGAACUCUAAGACAGGUGGUGCACGGUUGUCGUCAGCUCGUGUCGUGAGAUGUUGGGUUAAGUCCCGCAACGAGCGCAACCCUCGUCGUUAGUUGCAUGCAGUGGUACACUACUGUAGUGCUCUCUAGCGAGACUGCCGGUGAUAAACCGGAGGAAGGUGGGGACGACGUCAAAUCAUCAUGCCCCUUAUGCUCUGGGCUACACACGUGUUACAAUGGCUGGUACAACGAGCUGCCAACUCGCGAGAGUGAGCAAAUCUCUUAAAACCAGUCUCAGUUCGGAUUGGAGUCUGCAACUCGACUCCAUGAAGUCGGAAUCGCUAGUAAACGCAGAUCAGCACGCUGCGUUGAAUACGUUCCCGGGUCUUGCACACACCGCCCGU
rnacentral:rRNA from 1 species